AUUGAACGCUGGCGGCAUGCCUUACACAUGCAAGUCGAACGGCAUCGCGGGAAAGCUUGCUUUCCUGGCGGCGAGUGGCGAACGGGUGAGUAACACAUCGGAACGUACCGGCUAGUGGGGGAUAACCCGUCGAAAGACGGGCUAAUACCGCAUACGCUCUUCGGAGGAAAGCAGGGGACCUUUGGGCCUUGCGCUAGCCGAGCGGCCGAUGUCCGAUUAGCUAGUUGGUGGGGUAAAGGCCUACCAAGGCGACGAUCGGUAGCGGGUCUGAGAGGACGAUCCGCCACACUGGGACUGAGACACGGCCCAGACUCCUACGGGAGGCAGCAGUGGGGAAUCUUGGACAAUGGGGGCAACCCUGAUCCAGCAAUGCCGCGUGGGUGAAGAAGGCCUUCGGGUUGUAAAGCCCUUUCGGCAGGUAAGAAAUCGGCGGGGCGAAUAACCCUGCUGGAUGACGGUACCUGCAGAAGAAGCACCGGCUAACUACGUG
rnacentral:rRNA from 1 species